rnacentral:rRNA from 1 species
UACGUAGGUGACAAGCGUUGUCCGGAUUUACUGGGCGUAAAGGGCGCGUAGGCGGCUUAACAAGUCACUUGUGAAAUCUCCGGGCUUAACUCGGAACGGCCAAGUGAAACUGUCAAGCUAGAGUGCAGAAGGGGCAAUCGGAAUUCUUGGUGUAGCGGUGAAAUGCGUAGAUAUCAAGAGGAACACCUGCGGCGAAGGCGGGUUGCUGGGCUGACACUGACGCUGAGGCGCGAAAGCUAGGGGAGCGAACGGG